rnacentral:rRNA from 1 species
UACGGGGGGGUAAGCGUUGUUCGGAAUUACUGGGCGUAAAGCGUGCGUAGACGGUUAUUUAAGUCGGAUGUGAAAGCCCCCGGGGCUCAACCCUGGGAAUUGCAUUCGAGACUGAAAUAGCUAGGGUACGGUAGAGGGAAGCGGAAUUUCCGGUGUAGCGGUGAAAAUGCGUAGAUAUCGGAAGGAACAUCAGUGGCGAAAGCGGCUUCCUGGACCAGUACCGACGUCAGGCACGAAAGCGUGGGGGAGCAAACAGG